rnacentral:rRNA from 1 species
UACAGAGGUCCCAAGCGUUGUUCGGAUUCAUUGGGCGUAAAGGGUGCGUAGGCGGCGCGGUAAGUCGGGUGUGAAAUCUCGGAGCUUAACUCCGAAACUGCAUUCGAUACUGCCGUGCUUGAGGACUGGAGAGGAGACUGGAAUUUACGGUGUAGCGGUGAAAUGCGUAGAUAUCGUAAGGAAGACCAGUGGCGAAGGCGGGUCUCUGGACAGUUCCUGACGCUGAGAAGCGAAAGCAUGGGGAGCGAACAGG